rnacentral:rRNA from 1 species
GGGUGGCGGACGGGUGAGUAACGCGUGGGUAACCUGCCUUGUACAGGGGGAUAACAGUUGGAAACGGCUGCUAAUACCGCAUAAGCGCACGGCAUCGCAUGAUGCAGUGUGAAAAACUCCGGUGGUAUAAGAUGGACCCGCGUUGGAUUAGCUAGUUGGUGAGGUAACGGCCCACCAAGGCGACGAUCCAUAGCCGACCUGAGAGGGUGACCGGCCACAUUGGGACUGAGACACGGCCCAAACUCCUACGGGAGGCAGCAGUGGGGAAUAUUGCACAAUGGGCGAAAGCCUGAUGCAGCGACGCCGCGUGAGCGAAGAAGUAUUUCGGUAUGUAAAGCUCUAUCAGCAGGGAAGAUAAUGACGGUACCUGACUAA